ACGCACGCACGCACACACAGCCUGUAAUUCUUGUUUAAAUGUUUUGCAGCCGCGGCUGUUUUAUGGGGUUGGACAGAAUAAACUGUGGCCUGUGGUGACAUUAGAACAAGAGAGACGUUAAGGAGGGAACGCUCCGAGUUCUAGUUGUGAUGGAGUUAAGAGGCAGAGGCCUGAGCCCAUAAACAUGGAGCACAAUUAUCACCUUUCACAUUAAGAACGGGAAGAACUGAAAAUUACAGGCUGCUCCAUCGGAGCGGUUCCAUCGGAGCGGUUCCAUCGGAGCGGUUCCAUCGGAGCGGUUCCAUCGGAGCAGUUCCAUCGGAGCGGUUCCAUCGUCACGAGGGGGACGUGAGCUGCUGUUUGUGUGACCUGUGCCGCUCGUUACAGAGGAUCAGGAUGAGCCUGCUUCGCGCGGGCCGAGCUGCUGCUGGUGGCACUGCUGAGCAUCUCCUCGUCCCUGGGAAAAACAGGAAUGCCAUCGGAUAAUGGAAAAAAUAUGUUUUAUUGAGAAGUGAGCUCAAAACCCGUGUAAACAAGUCAGUGAAGUAUGUGGAGUUCAGGGGAUUGGAGUCCACAACACAAUUAGGUGGACGAGCAUAAAGCGUCUGCACGCUCUCAGACGCAGCGCUCUGAUCAUCUCCCUGCUGCUCCUCCAGCUUCCAACCGCAGCCAAGAGGGCAGAGGUGGAGGGUCCUCAAGCUGCAGAAGCUUCAGGCCGCAGCGAGUCUGAGCUGAGAGUCUGAGCUGAGAGUCUGAGCUGAGAGUCUGAGCUGAGAGUCUGAGCUGAGAGUCUGAGCUGUCAACGUCACCGCAGCAGCUCCACUGCUUCAUGAGACACCGAACACGUGCUCAGCACACACCAACCUUCAUCUGGACCGGGUGCGGUACCGAGCCGUGUGACCACCGCAGGGAGGAGCGCUGGUCGCCAACGGCAACAGGCUGGAAGCAGAGCGACGGUCUUGGAGCUCCUCUGACUCCUGCUCGCGACCCUGCUCAUCUUUAACCAAGCGCAUCGUUGUUCACAAUGCUUUCACUAAGUAACAUGUGCCAAAUUAGUUAGAACCGGUCCCUGUGCUGGUGCCAUCGGGUCACAAACAAGGAGGAGACGGAGGCUCCUCUGAUCCGAUUGCCUGUGGGUGAAGCUCAGAACAUGAGGACGUGAGAUCUGAGGACCUGAGGUGGAAGGAGAGCAGACGUGGGAACAAUAGACAAAGGAACCGAGGAGGAGAGCGACAAAGAGAAGAAUGGAGCUUGUUCACAGCAAAACCCAACGGGUCGGACAUCGGGGUCCGUGGGGAAAAACAGCCUGAACAAGACACCGAGGAGAAGCUGAGAGGCUUCGAGGCCACGACCACAAGAACCACUGCUCGACCUGGUUGAACAGAACCUGACAGAACCGUCUGACGUUCUGCCGCUGAUGAUUCACAGGAAGUUGUGAACUGUGAACUGCUGCAGCUUUGCUGCCGUUGGAGAACGCUGUCGUUGGAGAACGCUGCCGCUGGAGAAGGCUGUUGUUGGAGAACGCUGCCGCUGGAGAACGCGGACGCUAGAGAACGCGGACACUGGAGAACGCUGCAGCAAACGAGAACGCCGCCAUUGGAGAACGCUGCCAUUGGAGAACGCUGCCGUUGGAGAACGCUGUAGUUGGAGAACGCUGUAGUUGGAGAACGCUGUUGUUGGAGAACACGGAUGCUGGAGAACGCUACCGUUGGAGAACGCAGACGCUGGAGAACGCAGACGCUGGAGAACGCAGACGCUGGAGAACGCUGCCGUUGGAGAACGCUGCCGUUGGAGAAUGCUGUCGUUGGAGAACACGGAUGCUGGAGAACGCUACCGUUGGAGAACACGGACGCUGGAGAACGCUGCCGCUGGAGAAGGCUGUUGUUGGAGAACGCUGCCGCUGGAGAAGGCUGUUGUUGGAGAACGCUGCCGCUGGAGAAGGCUGUUGUUGGAGAACGCUGCCGCUGGAGAAGGCUGUUGUUGGAGAACGCUGCCGCUGGAGAAGGCUGUUGUUGGAGAACGCGGACACUGGAGAAUGCUGCAGCAAACGAGAACGCCGCCAUUGGAGAACGCUGCCAUUGGAGAACGCUGCCGUUGGAGAACGCUGUAGUUGGAGAACGCUGUCGUUGGAGAACACGGAUGCUGGAGAACGCUACCGUUGGAGAACGCAGACGCUGGAGAACGCAGACGCUGGAGAACGCAGAUGCUGGAGAACGCAGACGCUGGAGAACGCUGCCGUUGGAGAACGCUGUCGUUGGAGAACGCUGUCGUUGGAGAACACGGAUGCUGGAGAACGCUACCGUUGGAGAACGCGGACGCUGGAGAACGCUGCCGUGUUCAGCACCUGCAGCCAGCGCUCAUCAGCCGAGCCUCCAAUUAAACCCGGAUGCAUGGAAGGAAUCAUCGCGCUGCGUGACUCAGCUCCAGCUCCCAUGAAGCCGCCCAACCCAGAUUCCUCUGGUGUCGACCAAACAACUUGACUCAAUCAUCUCAGUGGGAAGUGAGGGAGCAUCACGCAACAUUCUGCACACAGGCUCCAUGACGAACAAAGACGCUGCUGCUGUUCUGAGGUCAGGGAAGCAAAACAGGCCCGAUGUCACCAGCAGAACCACGGAGCGGGAGACCAGCACCGUUCUGCACCGUUCCUCCACCUCGGCUCAGCAGAGAAGCAGCAGAACUCAUGGUUCUGCACCUUUAGGGUUGAUUGUUGUUGCACUGCGGCCCAUGAUGCACCAGUAACGGACCGAAGCGGACCAAGAUCAGACAUUUCCCUGCAAUUAAGCAUGUGAUUAAAUGAAGAAAUGGUCUGAACGUUCUUCCAGAUGAGGCCACGGAUCAAAUGUCACUUAUUAGUGAAAGCUGCACAUGAUCCGUUCACGCUUCCAUUAAUAGCUCAGAGCUGAAGACGUUUGCAGUAAUCAGAUCACUCCUCUGUGAUGAGGACGAUGAACGCGGAGCAGGUGCAGCUCAGCCGAAGCCACUGAAGGUUGAAGCGUGUUUGUGUGGUGAGAGUUCAGGAGCUCGUCCCCCGUGUGCGCCGCGGGUGCGGCCGCAGGCGGGUCCGUAGCGAUCAGAUGGCGCCCAUGUGUUGGACGACGGCCACAGGAGCAGCUGAAGGCACGGCUUCACGCAGCGUCCAUCGAAGCGCGAGGCUUCAGCGCAGCAGCCGUUUCCAUGUGGAGCUCAGGUGACAGCGUCCGACCCGGUCCACGCCCUGGACCCGCUCCGUCCGUAUGGUUCUGAUAACAGCGGUUCGCAUGACUUUUGAAAGAGUUCCCACAAAGGCAGCAGAUUAAAACCAGAGUCAACAGAGAUGAAGAGAUGCAGCUGGAGAUUCAACUACUGGGCAACAAGUAGUGGUGCUACACACACACACACACACACACACACACACACACACACACACACACACCCACACACACACACACCCUGAUUACACACAGGCUCAGUGACCGUGUGUGUGUGUGUGUGUGUGUGCGUGCGUGCGUGCGUGCGUCUGUGUGUGUGUGUGUGCGUGCGUGCGUGCGUCUGUGUGUGUGUGCAAACAGGAUCCAGAUGCCAGUGCAGGUCAUAGAGGCCUCACAGAGACCUGCAGACUCACAGAGGCAUAUUUAUCAGUGGGUUUAAAUAAUGAGACAUUGAAGAUAAUGGAAAUGCAUUAAAAAUGAUUGAGCAGGUUUUUAACAGAUUUCACAGGUCUGUGAUGCAGAACCGGCGUCGUCAAACCGCCGAACGCUGUAUCAGGCAGAAAAUGCUGUCUGGGAACAGAGAGACACAGAGACGUCUCUCCUGGAGCUGGUUUCUACUUAUCGUAGGUUCACCUGUUUAUUGCCUGCAUUGCUUCACAUUCAUCAGCAAAGUCCUUCUGCCACUUCAUCCAACUGGUUUUGACAAAACCCAAUCAAGCUCUAAGUGAAUGCUUCUGAUCCCACAUGAUCUACAUGUGUGUUAAUUUCCUUCACUGAGGAUCAGGCCAGUGAGGCAUUCACUGCUGCCCCCUGCUGCUCAGGGACUGCACUGCACCUUCAGCUGCAGCAGAAUGAGAACCAUCAGGUCAAGCUGGGUCGGGGGUCGGUCCUGGAGGUACCGGCUCCACAGCAGGACCUUGAACAACGAGGACUCUGUGCGGGACUGAAGAGCUGCUCGGCAUCCGGGCUUGAGCUGAUGGAGGUUCUGGUCCAGCAGACGGCGUGAGCGCCUCCCUCACUGCUCUGCUGAUCCUCACGCUACGGCCUCUGAGCUCGCGUUUCGAUGCCGCUGCAAAGAUCACAGUUUGUGAAAGCCAGGUCUGAAAGUCAGUGGAUCAGCAGCAGUUUCAGGGUAUGAUCUACAGUAAAAUAAUCCAGCAUCUUAACCAUCAACGACUGGACCCUUGGUUCAGAUUCAGAUCAAGCUGCUACAGGUGAAAAUCUCCACCGUUCGUAUAAAAUCAAAUCUCCUGACAGAUCAAUGCAUUCCUAUGAGCAGCCGUGAAAACCUGGACCUGGAGCUGAAACACAAGCAGGUGUUUAACCCUGAGCGGCGCUGCUCAGAGGCCUGAGGUUGAGCCGUGGAACCGAGGCCGAAGCCGGAGGCUCAGACGGAAGCAGAGGCAAAAAGAGAAAAGGAGCUUCUGAACUGAUGUGAUCACGUGACUGAGGAUCACAGCGAGUGGUUCCGUCAGACACAGCUUCAGCUGGAGCUGGUGUCUGUUAGAGGACCUGUCGUCAGCAGGCGCUGGAGCGCAGCGUUCUGCAGAACCGUCUCAUUUGGAAGGAACAAACGCGUCCUUUGGGCCAACGCACACACUCAGGCGCGUUCUGCACUGCGAGAACGCACGCUCCGUGUUCAGAGCAGCAGAGAGAAGCCUGAUUCUGAGGCGCAGCGGAGGGAGACGGAACCAGAACCAGAACCCAGAGUCUGAGCAGACGAGGACCCACGCAGGAACUGGCCUCUGCUGGAGGUCAAAGGUCACGGCCUUUAUCACUCUGUCUAAACAGCUGAUUGAUUCUCUAACAAGACGUUAAGACAGAGCCCAGAUCAAUAACGAGACACUCACUCCACAUCUGUGUUAAAACAAGAAGCCUCUGAGCUCUGGACUGAAGCCUCGUUUAACUUCAUCUUCACAUGUGACGUUUGUCCAGUCGCUUGUUUUAACACCUUCAUUCAGUUCCAAAUGAGCUUCGCAUUCAGGAACUUUUACAAGCUGCAAAGUGACGCCUCAGAUCCAGACAUCAGCACCUGGUGACAUAAUUGUUGCGUAAUUGCAGUUAAUCAAGAAGCUCAUCAGCCCCAUGCAGACGUAGUGAAGUGACUGUGUUCCAAUUAAAACAUUUACAGGGAAACGACUGCGAAGCUGAAAGCAGCAAACGGAGCCAGAGAGAAACGUGAGCCUCAACUCCAGACCUGGACCCAGGAGGCGGUGCAGCCAGCGCCGACCCGGCCCACUCACGCUCCCCUACACCAGAACCAGGAGCGGCCGCUCCGAGUUCCAGCCAGACGCUGCGUGGAAGCGAAUUAAAAGUUAAGUUAAUUAACUACUUGAGUAAGUAGAGCAGGCAGGAUGGAGCCAAAUCAAUUAGGGACUGGCAGAGACGGAGCUGGGGGGGGGCAAACGCACACACAGGCACGGACGCACACACAGGCACGGACGCACACACACAGGAACGGACGCACACACAGGCACGGACGCACACACACACGGACGCACACACACACACACGGAUGCACGGACGCACACACACACAGGCACGGACGCACACACACAGGAACGGACGCACACACACAGGCACGGACGCACACACACAGGCACGGACGCACGGACACACACA